rnacentral:antisense_RNA from 1 species
CUUGAUGGAGCCCAGCCACAGCGGCCGGUUCUCCUCGCGGUCCUGUCCGUACGCCGCCAGCAACGCCUGUGCCUC